CGUCCACCGAGGUCCAGAGCUCGCAGAAGAAGGAGCCGUACUCCCAGCGACCCCACACCACGAUGGUAGCCCCGAACGGCACCACCAGCAGCCCCAUGACCAGGUCGGCGCUGGCCAAGGACAUGAUGAAGAGAUAAAGGCAUAACGCAGAAAAAUCUUCAUUCAAUACAAACCCAAGAGUGGCAAAGGAGGCGGCUUCCUAUCAGCGGAAAUUGAAUAAUUGAAUAAAUGUGUUCUUUUUAAAAGUGAGAGGAUGUAGUAAAGAAACUAAUUUGGGCUGACUGUGCACCUGACCGGGAACUGGAGUUGCUGAAGGGAAAGAUCCUGUGGGGACUGAAGGUGCUCUGGCUCGGCUGUUGUCCCACAAAAUGGGCCAGCAGAUGAGCAUCAAUAUGAGCAGGCGGUUGCCCUUCACUGACCUUCCUAGCAAAACAAGAAUCAUGCCGCAGCUUUGCUUCCGCCUUCCAAAUCUCAUGCACACUUGUGGUCCAUGCCAGCCUGUAACUCUGCAUGGAGGGGGUUCCAAGAAGUGGAGGUCUAGCUUAGAGUUGACACAGUACAAGCCCAGCCCGGUUUGUUUUCAGAGCAGUGAGAGGACCAGGGCGGCUCACCAUCCUCACGUUUGCUCAUGUCCUGCCUCCUCAGUGCAGACCUAUUUAGGAGUGCAGCCCACCCUUGCUGGCCCCAACUCAACACUUGCAAUUCCUCUCUAAUUUCUCUUUAUUUUCCGUUGCACUCAUCACCUCCUGUUUAUGAUAUCACUGAUUGGUACCACAUUUAAUGCUUGCUUUUGUUUCCCAUCAGUAGAAUAGAGCAUAAGUAUUUUUCCAUUUUGUUCCAUGAUGUGCCCCAAACACUCUGAAAGCUCCGUCACUGGGCAGGCACUUAACCCCUACUCUUGGAGGAAGGAGAACAAUUGGCAGUGUCCGAGAUGAGUCUGGAGAAGUCAGCAGUGGCCAGGACAAGUGGCAUAGAUUUUAUUUUAGAUGUACUGAGAAGCCCUUGGGAGGUUUCAGCAGGGAGUCAUGUGUUCUCUCUGACAUUUUCACAGGUUCACUCUGGAGGUGUGUGUGUGUGUGGAGGGGUGGGCAUGGGGGGGUAUGGGAGAGGGUAGGCUCGGAAGGAAGUGACUGCAGUUGUCCACUUGGGAUGAGAGUAACUUGUGCUAUGGUGAUUGAAAAGUGGUGGCAAGUGGUCAAAUUCAAGAUAUAUUUGGGAAGUAGAAGUGUUUAAGCACUCUGAAAUGGGUUGGAUGUAGAAAUAAGGGUAGCUUAGGGGUUCAUCCUGAGCUGCCGUGUGAAAUGGUGGGCCCACUAGCAGAAAUGAAGACUGGAAGAGCAGCAGGUUUGAGGUCAGGAGCCGAGAUUUUCAUUUCUUCAUUAAACAGCUAUUUGCUGAGCCCCCACUAUGCUCUGGGCACUGUGCUAAUUCUUAGGAGUACCAUAGUGAACACCCUGGACUAAAAUCCUUGCCCUCAGGGAAUUUACAUUCUAGUGGGAGGGAAAAGCAAUAAUCAGGAAAGUUAGUAAGAAAAAGUAUGUUAAGAGGUGAUAAGAUGUAGAGGACAAGGGAGGGAGUAGGGAGUGUGAAGAGAGGGUGUAAUUUAAAAUAAGGUGGCCAAGGAAGGCCUCUUUAACCAGUGGCCUUUGGUAAAGACUUGGAGGAGGUGAGGGAGGGAGCCGUGAGGACACCUGGUGAAAGAACUUCCCAGGCAGGUGGUACAGCAAGUUCUUGUAAGGUCAGCCUGCCUGCCUUAUCUGAACAACAGCAAAGAGACCAGCAUGGUGGGGCGGAGUGGUCGGGGAGCAGUGAGAGAGGACUGGGAAGUGAUGGGUUGGGGGUAGCAAUGAGACUAUUUUAUGGAUUUGUAUUUGGCAUAAGAUGAGAAACCAUUGGAAGCAAAGGAAUGACAAGAGCCAACUUAACCUUUUGAAAGGUUUGAGACACCCAUGAACAUCCUAGUGGAGAUGUCAAGGAGGAGGUUGGAUGAGUCCGUAGCUUGGAAGAAAUCGUAGCUGGAGCUGGGUGCUAUCAGCGUAUAACAGUAUUUAAUGCCAGGAGACUAGAUAAGGUCAACCAGGGAAAGGUGAUAGAUAGAGAAGGGCAAAUAAAGGCAACAAAAAAAAUCCCAGCAGGAGGUGCCGUGCAUGGAGACUCUGGCCAUCUGGAGGGAUUGUUCUGCUGCCUUCACAGUGGGGGACCCCCUGUGGGGGCGAAGGUAGAGCCACUUCGUAUACAGUGCUCUCAGGAUCCAUAAUGAAGAAACUUACAAAUUCAAAAUGCAUACUGUAUAUGUGUGCAUACUGUAGUCCUUUGUAGAGAAAAGCUGUGAUUAUAAGUGCUGUCAGGUGGGCAGAUGUGGCUGACAACAGCCAGGAACGACCAAAGAUUCUCAGCUACAGGUAA